GAAAUGCGAUAAGUAAUGUGAAUUGCAGAAUUCAGUGAAUCAUCGAAUCUUUGAACGCACAUUGCGCCCCUUGGUAUUCCGGGGGGCAUGCCUGUUCGAGCGUCAUUAUAACCCUCAAGCCUAGCUUGGUGUUGGAGCCUGCCUCUGGGCAGCUCUUAAAAUCAGUGGCGGUGCCGUCUGGCUCUAAGCGUAGUAAUUUUUCUCGCUACAGAGUCCUGGCGGUUGCUUGCCAACAACCCCAAAUUUUCUAUGGUUGACCUCGGAUCAGGUAGGGAUACCCGCUGAACUUAA
rnacentral:misc_RNA from 1 species